CCUUGUACACGCCGCCCGUCACACCAUGGGAGUUGGCUUUACCCGAAGGCGUCGCGCGAACCCGCAAGGGAGGCAGGCGACCACGGUAGGGUCAGCGACUGGGGUG
rnacentral:rRNA from 1 species